UCUGAUGGAUGAGCAAAGAAAGUGGCUUCCUGAGAUGGAAUCUAUUCCUGGUGAAGAUGCUGUCAA
rnacentral:pre_miRNA from 1 species